GGCUUUUUGAAUAUAAUUUAAAGUCUAACCUGCCCAAUGAUUUAUUGAAUGGCCGCAGUAUAUUGACUGUGCAAAGGUAGCAUAAUCAUUAGUUUUUUAAAUGAAAGCUUGUAUGAAAGGUUUAAUGAGAAAAAUACUGUCUCUAUUUAAAUAUAUUAGAACUUUAUUUUUAAGUAAAAAAGCUUAAAUAUUUAUUGAAGACGAGAAGACCCUAUAGAAUUUUAUAUUUUUAUUUAAUUUAUUUAAUUUAGGAUUAUUUGAAUAUAUGUAAUAAAAGUAUUUGGUUGGGGUGAUAGAAAAAUUUAUUUAACUUUUUUUUUAUUGAAACAUUGAUUAGUGAAUAUUUGAUCCUUUGAAAUAUAAAGAUAAAAAGAAAAAAUUACCUUAGGGAUAACAGCGUAAUUUUUUUUAGAGUUCUUAUCAAAAAAAAAGUUUGCGACCUCGAUGUUGGAUUAAAAUAAAUUAUUGGUGUAGAAGCUAAUAUUUUAGGUCUGUUCGACCUUUAAAUUUUUACAUGAUCUGAGUUUAAACCGGUGUGAG
rnacentral:rRNA from 1 species